GAGGAAGCAGGAAGGGGGGAACAGGAACAAGAACAAGCUGAGCUGGGAAACAGAGAUGGAGAGAUUCCCCAGUUGGAAAGGAGAGAUACAAAAUGGGGGAGAUGUGAAUGAAAUCUCUCUCACAGCAACCACAACAAAACAUCCAGGUUAAAGAUCUCAGCACAUCACUUCUCAGCAACCUGCUUAUGUACACAAUACAAGUUCUACUGUUCCAAUAAAGCGUGGGUGGAGUAUCAUACUGUAUCAUCCCAAGACCCAGAAAUUGUGUAACAAUGCCUAGGAUUGAUCUUUUACCUUGACCCACACUGGC